GACGAACGCUGGCGGCGUGCUUAACACAUGCAAGUCGAACGAUGAAGCUGGAGCUUGCUCCGGUGGAUUAGUGGCGAACGGGUGAGUAACACGUGAGCAAUCUGCCCCUGACUCUGGGAUAACUGCGGGAAACUGUAGCUAAUACCGGAUACUUUCACUGGAAGGAAUCUUCGGGUGACGAAAGAACUUCGGUCAAGGAUGAGCUAGCGGCCUAUCAGCUUGGUGGUGAGGUAACGGGUCACCAAGGCGACGACGGGUAGCCGGCCUGAGAGGGUGACCGGCCACACUGGGACUGAGACACGGCCCAGACUCCUACGGGAGGCAGCAGUGGGGAAUAUUGCACAAUGGGCGCAAGCCUGGUGCAGCAACGCCGCGUGAGGGAUGAAGGCCUUCGGGUUGUAAACCUCUUUUAGCAGGGAAGAAGCGGAAGUGACGGUACCUGCAGAAAAAGCACCGGCUAACUACGUGCCAGCCGCCGCAGUAA
rnacentral:rRNA from 1 species